GAUGAACGCUGGCGGCGUGCUUAACACAUGCAAGUCGAACGAACCUUCGGGUUAGUGGCGGACGGGUGAGUAACGCGUGAGAAUCUGCCCUCAGGAGGGGGAUAACAGCUGGGAACGGCUGCCAAUACCCCAUAUGCCGCGAGGUGAAAUGAAUUUCGCCUGAGGAUGAGCUCGCGUCUGAUUAGCUAGUUGGUGUAGGUAAUGGCUCACCAAGGCAUCGAUCAGUAGCUGGUCUGAGAGGAUGAUCAGCCACACUGGGACUGAGACACGGCCCAGACUCCUACGGGAGGCAGCAGUGGGGAAUUUUCCGCAAUGGGCGAAAGCCUGACGGAGCAACGCCGCGUGAGGGAUGAAGGCCUCUGGGCUGUAAACCUCUUUUAUCAAGGAAGAAGAUCUGACGGUACUUGAUGAAUAAGCCACGGCUAAUUCCGUGCC
rnacentral:rRNA from 1 species